rnacentral:rRNA from 1 species
AACGAACGCUGGCGGCAUGCCUAACACAUGCAAGUCGAACGAGACCUUCGGGUCUAGUGGCGCACGGGUGCGUAACGCGUGGGAACCUGCCCUUAGGUUCGGAAUAACUCCCCGAAAGGGGUGCUAAUACCGGAUAAUGUCUUCGGACCAAAGAUUUAUCGCCUUUGGAUGGGCCCGCGUUGGAUUAGCUAGUUGGUAGGGUAAAAGCCUACCAAGGCGACGAUCCAUAGCUGGUCUGAGAGGAUGUUCAGCCACACUGGGACUGAGACACGGCCCAGACUCCUACGGGAGGCAGCAGUGGGGAAUAUUGGACGAGGGGCGAAAGCCUGAUCCAGCAAUGCCGCGUGAGUGAUGAAGGCCUUAGGGUUGUAAAGCUCUUUUACCCGGGAUGAUAAUGACAGUACCGGGAGAAUAAGCUCCGGCUAACUCCGUG